rnacentral:lncRNA from 1 species
AUUCCUCUGCCCUCGCAGAAGGUGCAACCCUAGUCUUCAAAGUAUGCGGCAGAGACUGCCCGUCCGCUCCUCAGAGCAAAAAGCUUCCAGGCUGCAGACCCAUCUCUCUGACAGUUGGUCUCUGUGUCUGCGGUCUGCGUUUGUGCGUGCCUGCAGAACUUGAUGAAAGCACACGUACCCGUCAUCUUUCAACAUCAACUCCACUGUAUAUCCAUGCUAG